UACGGGGGGAGCAAGCGUUGUUCGGAUUUACUGGGCGUAAAGGGCGCGUAGGCGGCCACCGCAAGUCGACUGUGAAAUCUCCGGGCUUAACCCGGAAAGGUCAGCCGAUACUGCGGGGCUAGAGUGCAGAAGGGGCAACUGGAAUUCUCGGUGUAGCGGUGAAAUGCGUAGAUAUCUGGAGGAACACCGGUGGCGAAGGCGACAUCCUGGACCGGUAUUGACGCUGAGGCGCGAAAGCCAGGGGAGCAAACGGG
rnacentral:rRNA from 1 species